AUUGAACGCUGGCGGCAGGCCUAACACAUGCAAGUCGAGCGGAUGAAGGGAGCUUGCUCCUGGAUUCAGCGGCGGACGGGUGUGUAAUGCCUAGGAAUCUGCCUGGUAGUGGGGGAUAACGUCCGGAAACGGGCGCUAAUACCGCAUACGUCCUGAGGGAGAAAGUGGGGGAUCUUCGGACCUCACUCUAUCAGAUGAGCCUAGGUCGGAUUAGCUAGUUGGUGGGGUAAAGGCCUACCAAGCCGACGAUCCGUAGCUGGUCUGAGAGGAUGAUCAGUCACACUUGAACUGAGACACGGUCCAGACUCCUACGGGAGGCAGCAGUGGGGAAUAUUGGACAAUGGGCGAAAGCCUGAUCCAGCCAUGCCGCGUGUGUGAAGAAGGUCUUCGGAUUGUAAAGCACUUUAAGUUGUGAGGAAGGGCAGUAAGUUAAUACCUUGCUGUUUUGACGUUACCAACAGAAUAAGCACCGGCUAACUUCGUG
rnacentral:rRNA from 1 species